AACGAACGCUGGCGGCAUGCCUAACACAUGCAAGUCGAACGAGACCUUCGGGUCUAGUGGCGCACGGGUGCGUAACGCGUGGGAACCUGCCCUUAGGUUCGGAAUAACUCCCCGAAAGGUGUGCUAAUACCGGAUAAUGUCUUCGGACCAAAGAUUUAUCGCCUUUGGAUGGGCCCGCGUUGGAUUAGCUAGUUGGUAGGGUAAAAGCCUACCAAGGCGACGAUCCAUAGCUGGUCUGAGAGGAUGAUCAGCCACACUGGGACUGAGACACGGCCCAGACUCCGACGGGAGGCAGCAGUGGGGAAUAUUGGAGAAUGGGCGAAAGCCUGAUCAAGCAAUGCGGCGUGAGUGAUGAAGGCCUUAGGGUUGUAAAGCUCUUUUACCCGGGAUGAUAAUGACAGUACCGGGAGAAUAAGCACCGGCUAACUCCGUG
rnacentral:rRNA from 1 species